rnacentral:rRNA from 1 species
GACGAACGCUGGCGGCGUGCUUAACACAUGCAAGUCGAACGGAAAGGCCCUGCUUUUGUGGGGUGCUCGAGUGGCGAACGGGUGAGUAACACGCGAGUAACCUGCCCUUGACUUUGGGAUAACUUCAGGAAACUGGGGCUAAUACCGGAUAGGAGCUCCUGCUGCAUGGUGGGGGUUGGAAAGUUUCGGCGGUUGGGGAUGGACUCGCGGCUUAUCAGCUUGUUGGUGGGGUAGUGGCUUACCAAGGCUUUGACGGGUAGCCGGCCUGAGAGGGUGACCGGCCACAUUGGGACUGAGAUACGGCCCAGACUCCUACGGGAGGCAGCAGUGGGGAAUAUUGCACAAUGGGCGGAAGCCUGAUGCAGCAACGCCGCGUGCGGGAUGACGGCCUUCGGGUUGUAAACCGCUUUCGCCUGUGACGAAGCGUGAGUGACGGUAAUGGGUAAAGAGGCACCGGCUAACUACGUG